ACGCACGCUGGCGGCGUGCUUAACACAUGCCAGUCGAACGGAAAGGCCCCUUUGGGGGUCCUCGAGUGGCGAACGGGUGAGUAACACGUGAGUAACCUGCCCUUGACUUCGGGAUAACUUCAGGAAACUGGGGCUAAUACCGGAUAGGAAUCCUUGCUGCAUGGUGGGGGUUGGAAAGCUUCGGCGGUUUUGGAUGGACUCGCGGCUUAUCAGCUUGUUGGUGGGGUAGUGGCUUACCAAGGCUUUGACGGGUAGCCGGCCUGAGAGGGCGACCGGCCACAUUGGGACUGAGAUACGGCCCAGACUCCUACGGGAGGCAGCAGGGGGGAAUAUUGCACAAUGGGCGGAAGCCGGAUGCAGCAACGCCGCGUGCGGGAGGACGGCCUUCGGGUUGUAAACCGCUUUCAGCAGGGGCGAAGCUUGUGGUGACGGUACCUGCAGAAGAAGCACCGGCUAACUACGUG
rnacentral:rRNA from 1 species